rnacentral:tRNA from 1 species
GCCCGAGUAGCUCAACGGCAGAGCAAUUGGCUGUUAACCAAUGUGUUGCAGGUUCGAAUCCUGUCUCGGGCG